rnacentral:misc_RNA from 1 species
GCAAACUUGGUCAUUUAGAGGAAGUAAAAGUCGUAACAAGGUUUCCGUAGGUGAACCUGCGGAAGGAUCAUUACUGAAACGGGUCUGCGCCUUUUUGGCCGCGACCUUUCCACUUCACACCCCGUGCACCAGUGGCCGAAAGGCCUCUUUACAAACGUCGAACAGUCCAAAAAGAAUGCGGCAUCGCCGUCUAAACUAAAACAACUUUCAACAACGGAUCUCUUGGCUCUCGCAUCGAUGAAGAACGCAGC